rnacentral:sRNA from 1 species
AGGUAAAGGGAGGAUUAUCAGUCAUUCAAGGCCAGAGUCAGUUUGGUUGAUCUGGCUGGCUUAGCAGGUAUCUCUUUCUUCUCUUGUUGCUCUCUGUGUGUCUCUCCUGAGGCUCCAGUGCUGGCGACCAACAGAUGACCUUCCCCAACAGAGGAGGACAGAUCAUCAGUCAAGAGUGAAUAGCCACUGUACUACCCUGCUAGAACUUCCAAAACAAGCUCAGAAAAGUAGGAGAAUAGAGGCUGUAGGCUCUGUUAUAGGAUAUGGGGGCGGGGAGAGGGGGAGUAUAGGUUUAUUCUAGUUUGAUUCUUGGUAGCUGUGAUAAAAUACCACAGCCAAACCA